GACGAACGCUGGCGGCGUGCCUAAUACAUGCAAGUCGAACGAGAGCGACCGGUGCUUGCACUGGUCAAUCUAGUGGCGCACGGGUGAGUAACACGUGGGUAACCUGCUCAUCAGAGGGGGAUAACAUCCGGAAACGGAUGCUAAAACCGCAUAGGUCUUCGAGCCGCAUGGCUUGAAGAGGAAAAGAGGCGCAAGCUUCUGCUGAUGGAUGGACCCGCGGUGCAUUAGCUAGUUGGUGAGGUAACGGCUCACCAAGGCCGUGAUGCAUAGCCGACCUGAGAGGGGGAUCGGCCACAUUGGGACUGAGACACGGCCCAAACUCCUACGGGAGGCAGCAGUAGGGAAUCUUCCGCAAUGGACGCAAGUCUGACGGAGCAACGCCGCGUGAGUGAAGAAGGUGUUCGGAUCGUAAAGCUCUGUUGUUAGAGAAGAACAAGUGCUAGAGUAACUGUUAGCGCCUUGACGGUAUCUAACCAGAAAGCCACGGCUAACUACGUG
rnacentral:rRNA from 1 species